GGGAAUGUGGCUCAGUGGUAGAGUGCUUGCCUAGCAUGCGUGAAUCCCUGGGUUCGAUUCCUCAGUACCA
rnacentral:tRNA from 1 species